rnacentral:rRNA from 1 species
UACGUAGGGGGCGAGCGUUAUCCGGAAUCACUGGGCGUAAAGGGUGCGUAGGCGGCCCUACAAGUCAGGGGUGAAAGGCUACGGCUUAACCGUAGUAAGCCUUUGAAACUGUGGGGCUUGAGUGCAGGAGAGGAGAGUGGAAUUCCUAGUGUAGCGGUGAAAUGCGUAGAUAUUAGGAGGAACACCAGUGGCGAAGGCGGCUCUCUGGACUGCAACUGACGCUGAGGCACGAAAGCGUGGGUAGCGAACAGGAUUAGAUACCCUGGUAGUCCACGCUGUAAACGAUGAGUGCUAGGUGUUGGGGUUUAACAACCUCGGUGCCGGAGCUAACGCAAUAAGCACUCCGCCUGGGGAGUACGGUCGCAAGACUGAA